rnacentral:rRNA from 1 species
UACGUAGGGGGCGAGCGUUGUCCGGAUUUAUUGGGCGUAAAGAGCGUGUAGGCGGCCAGGUAGGUCUGCUGUGAAAACUCGAGGCUCAACCUCGAGACGUCGGCGGAAACCAUCUGGCUAGAGUCCGGAAGAGGAGAGUGGAAUUCCUGGUGUAGCGGUGAAAUGCGCAGAUAUCAGGAAGAACACCCGUGGCUAAGGCGGCUCUCUAGUACGGUACUGACGCUGAGACGCGAAAGCGUGGGGAGCGAACGGG